rnacentral:rRNA from 1 species
AAUGAACGCUGGCGGCAGGCCUAACACAUGCAAGUCGAACGAGUGUCGGACGGGAAAGUAAUGUCUGGGAAACUGUACGCUGGAGGGGGAUAACUAAUGAAAACGGUAGCUAAUACCUAAUACUAUCAGUGGAUCCCAUAUGGGAGUAGCUAGUUGGUGGGGUAACGGCUCACCGAGGCGACGAUCCCUAGCUGGUCUGAGAGGAUUACCACCAACCCUGGACUGGAGACACGGGCCAGACUCCUACGGGAGGCAGCAGUGGGGAACAUUGCAAAAUGGGGGAAAGCCUGAUGCAUCCAUGCGGCGGGUAUGAAGAAGGCCUUCGGGUUUUAAAGUAUUUUGGGCAGGGAGGCGUUAUGUAUAAAAGAAGGACCGGCUAACUACGUGCCAGCAGCCGCGGUAAUAC